ensembl:snRNA U6 U6 spliceosomal RNA
UUGCUUCUGCAGCACAUAUCCUAAAAUUGGAACUAUACAGAGGAGAUUAGCUUAGCCCCUCUGCUAGAAAUUUGUGAAGCAUUCCACAUUUUU